rnacentral:rRNA from 1 species
GACAGCAGCAGCCGCGGUAAUACGUAGGUGGCAAGCGUUGUCCGGAAUUAUUGGGCGUAAAGGGCUCGCAGGCGGUUUCUUAAGUCUGAUGUGAAAGCCCCCGGCUCAACCGGGGAGGGUCAUUGGAAACUGGGAAACUUGAGCGCAGAAGAGGAGAGUGGAAUUCCACGUGUAGCGGUGAAAUGCGUAGAGAUGUGGAGGAACACCAGUGGCGAAGGCGACUCUCUGGUCUGUAACUGACGCUGAGGAGCGAAAGCGUGGGGAGCGAACAGGAUUAGAUACCCCUGUAGUCCCUGUCUCUUAUAA